GACGAACGCUGGCGGCGUGCCUAACACAUGCAAGUCAACUUGACUGAAGGAGCAAUCUGACAGUAGAGUGGCGCAAGGGUGCGUAACGCGUAAGUAACUUGCCCCAAGGUAAGGAAUAACGUCGAGAAAUCGGCGCUAAUACCUCAUAAUGCAGCGGAUCCGCAUGGAUAUGUUGUUAAAGGUUUACCGCCUUGGGAUAGGCUUGCGUCUGAUUAGUUAGUUGGUGUGGUAACGGCACACCAAGGCUACGAUCAGUAACUGGUCUGAGAGGAUGAUCAGUCACACUGGAACUGAGACACGGUCCAGACUCCUACGGGAGGCAGCAGUGAGGAAUAUUGGGCAAUGCUCGAAAGAGUGACCCAGCAACGCCGCGUGGAGGAUGAAGGUAUUCUAUAUCGUAAACUCCUGUGAGAGCAGACGAAAGACAGAUUAUUAAUCUGGAUGACUGUAUGCUCAGAGGAAGCCCCGGCUAACUACGU
rnacentral:rRNA from 1 species